AUUGAACGCUGGCGGAAUGCUUUACACAUGCAAGUCGAACGGCAGCAUAGAGAGCUUGCUCUCUGAUGGCGAGUGGCGAACGGGUGAGUAAUAUAUCGGAACGUACCCAGUAGUGGGGGAUAACGAAUCGAAAGAUUCGCUAAUACCACAUACGCCCUACGGGGGAAAGCGGGGGAUCGUAAGACCACGCGGUAUUGGAGCGGCCGAUAUCUGAUUAGCUAGUUGGUGAGGUAAAGGCUCACCAAGGCGACGAUCAGUAGCGGGUCCGAGAGGACGACCAGCCAAACUGGAACUGAGACACGGUCCAGACUCCUACGGGAGGCAGCAGUGGGGAAUUUUGGACAAUGGGGGCAACCCUGAUCCAGCCAUUCCGCGUGAGUGAAGAAGGCCUUCGGGUUGUAAAGCUCUUUCGCAAGGGAAGAAAACUUAUCUACUAAUACUAGGUGAGGCUGACGGUACCUUGAUAAGAAGCACCGGCUAACUACGUGCCAGCCGCCGCCGUAA
rnacentral:rRNA from 1 species